rnacentral:rRNA from 1 species
GACGAAUGCUGGCGGCGUGCCUAAUACAUGCAAGUUGAGCGCUGAAGGUUGGUACUUGUACCAACUGGAUGAGCAGCGAACGGGUGAGUAACGCGUGGGGAAUCUGCCUUUGAGCGGGGGACAACAUUUGGAAACGAAUGCUAAUACCGCAUAAAAACUUUAAACACAAGUUUUAAGUUUGAAAGAUGCAAUUGCAUCACUCAAAGAUGAUCCCGCGUUGUAUUAGCUAGUUGGUGAGGUAAAGGCUCACCAAGGCGAUGAUACAUAGCCGACCCGAGAGGGUGAUCGGCCACAUUGGGACUGAGACACGGCCCAAACUCCUACGGGAGGCAGCAGUAGGGAAUCUUCGGCAAUGGACGAAAGUCUGACCGAGCAACGCCGCGUGAGUGAAGAAGGUUUUCGGAUCGUAAAACUCUGUUGGUAGAGAAGAACGUUGGUGAGAGUGGAAAGCUCAUCAAGUGACGGUAACUACCCAGAAAGGGACGGCUAACUACGUG